CACAAAAACGUGGUUUUUUGCAAAUCUCACUAUUUAAGGAUUCACUGAAAGUACUGUCCUUCAAAAAUUAAACCGUUUUUAAGCAUGAGUAUGAUUCUCUGCUUUAGAUGUUAUAAGUUAAUGUCCCAUCAGUUUUAACUUUACCAAACACCUAGUUUAGUAACUGAAGCUUUAUGUAAAUAUGUAUAACAUAAAUGUGAUAUUUAUACCAUAAUUUACAAUUAACUUAGGGACUCUGCCACUGACA
rnacentral:lncRNA from 1 species